GGAUGGCUCAGUCAGUAGAGCACAAGACACUUAAUCUCUGGGUUGUGGGUUUGAGCCCCACAUGGGGCG